rnacentral:rRNA from 1 species
AUUGAACGCUGGCGGCAGGCUUAACACAUGCAAGUCGAGCGGGGAAGGGUAGCUUGCUACCUAACCUAGCGGCGGACGGGUGAGUAAUGCUUAGGAAUCUGCCAUUUAGUGGGGGACAACAUUCCGAAAGGAAUGCUAAUACCGCAUACGUCCUACGGGGGAAAGCAGGGGAUCUUCGGACCUUGCGCUAUCAGAUGAGCCUCGGUCGGAUUAGCUAGUUGGUGAGGUAAAGGCUCACCAAGGCGACGAUCCGUAACUGGUCUGAGAGGAUGAUCAGUCACACUGGAACUGGAACACGGUCCAGAAUCCUGCGGGAGGCAGAAGUGGGGAAUAUUGGACAAUGGGCGAAAGCCUGAACCAGCCAUGCCGCGUGUGUGAAGAAGGUCUUCGGAUUGUAAAGCACUUUAAGUUGGGAGGAAGGGCAGUAAGUUAAUACCUUGCUGUUUUGACGUUACCAACAGAAUAAGCACCGGCUAACUUCGUGCCAGCCGCCGCCGUAAGAC